rnacentral:rRNA from 1 species
GAGAUUAGAGUUUGAUCCUGGCUCAGAUUGAACGCUGGCGGCAGGCCUAACACAUGCAAGUCGAGCGGUAACAUUUCUAGCUUGCUAGAAGAUGACGAGCGGCGGACGGGUGAGUAAUGCUUGGGAACAUGCCUUGAGGUGGGGGACAACAGUUGGAAACGACUGCUAAUACCGCAUAAUGUCUACGGACCAAAGGGGGCUUCGGCUCUCGCCUUUAGAUUGGCCCAAGUGGGAUUAGCUAGUUGGUGAGGUAAUGGCUCACCAAGGCGACGAUCCCUAGCUGGUUUGAGAGGAUGAUCAGCCACACUGGGACUGAGACACGGCCCAGACUCCUACGGGAGGCAGCAGUGGGGAAUAUUGCACAAUGGGCGCAAGCCUGAUGCAGCCAUGCCGCGUGUGUGAAGAAGGCCUUCGGGUUGUAAAGCACUUUCAGUCAGGAGGAAAGGUUAGUAGUUAAUACCUGCUAGCUGUGACGUUACUGACAGAAGAAGCACCGGCUAACUCCGUGCCAGCAGCCGCGGUAAUACGGAGGGUGCGAGCGUUAAUCGGAAUUACUGGGCGUAAAGCGUACGCAGGCGGUUUGUUAAGCGAGAUGUGAAAGCCCCGGGCUCAACCUGGGAACUGCAUUUCGAACUGGCAAACUAGAGUGUGAUAGAGGGUGGUAGAAUUUCAGGUGUAGCGGUGAAAUGCGUAGAGAUCUGAAGGAAUACCGAUGGCGAAGGCAGCCACCUGGGUCAACACUGACGCUCAUGUACGAAAGC